rnacentral:lncRNA from 1 species
GUUGAUGAGCUCUGUUUAUGUCAUUUGUAAAUUUUUGUUGAAUGUGCAAUUUGGGAUGUUUGUUUGGUUAGGUUCCCAUUGAUCAAAGUGGGCUGAUAUCUUAGCAGCAACUUUUGUGAAAAUGGCAACAAUUGUUGACCCUUGUUAGAAGUGGAAUUUAAGCCUAGCUCAACCCCACAAAACUGGCUUGUAAGGUGAGGUUUGCACCCACUUAUAUA